GAUGAACGCUGGCGGCGUGCUUAACACAUGCAAGUCGAACGGUGAAGGCGGAGCUUGCUCUGCUGGAUCAGUGGCGAACGGGUGAGUAACACGUGAGCAAUCUGCCCCUGUCUCUGGGAUAAGCGCUGGAAACGGCGUCUAAUACUGGAUACGAGCUGCGAAGGCAUCUUCAGCAGCUGGAAAGAAUUUCGGUCAGGGAUGAGCUCGCGGCCUAUCAGCUUGUUGGUGAGGUAAUGGCUCACCAAGGCGUCGACGGGUAGCCGGCCUGAGAGGGUGACCGGCCACACUGGGACUGAGACACGGCCCAGACUCCUACGGGAGGCAGCAGUGGGGAAUAUUGCACAAUGGGCGAAAGCCUGAUGCAGCAACGCCGCGUGAGGGACGACGGCCUUCGGGUUGUAAACCUCUUUUAGCAGGGAAGAAGCGAAAGUGACGGUACCUGCAGAAAAAGCGCCGGCUAACUACGUG
rnacentral:rRNA from 1 species